ACAGAGGGUGCGAGCGUUGUCCGGAAUCACUGGGCGUAAAGGGCGCGUAGGCGGCCUGAUAAGUAGGGGGUGAAAUCCUGCGGCUUAACCGCAGGGCUGCCUUCUAGACUGUCAGGCUUGAGCACGGUAGAGGCGGAUGGAAUUCCCGGUGUGGCGGUGGAAUGCGUAGAGAUCGGGAGGAACAUCAGUGGCGAAGGCGGCCAUCUGGGACAACACUGACGCUGAGGCACGAAAGCGUGGGGAGCAAACAGGA
rnacentral:rRNA from 1 species